GUGGUAUAGUGGGGGGGGGGGGAGGGCGGUUGCUGUAGAGUGGUGUAGUGGCUGUGCCGGAGUGGCGUGUGUCGGAGCUAGUGGUAUAGUGGGGGGGCCGGGAGAGGCGUGUGUCCGCGAGUGGUUCGUUGCGAGUGGGGGGCGAGGCGCGUGUGGUCAGAGUGGUGUAGUGGGGGGGAGAGGCGUGUGUCGGAGUGUCAUGAGUUGUUGGGGAUACUGAUAGGGUGGAUUGGGGGAUAUUGAUAGGGUGGAUGCGUGUGACAUGUUUAAAAUUAGGGUUCUAAGCACCACAUUCACCAAAUACGUCUUCGGUCUCCAUCAUUUCACUGAAAACAGUACAUGAGUCUAAUUCCAAGCAGGUUUUAGAUCAAGUGGCCUUUAAGUACUGAUCUACAGUCAGUUUUA
rnacentral:lncRNA from 1 species